CAUAUUUUUUUAAUAUUAUAUAUUUUGUUUAUUGGCUGUAUGACUAGUAAGCAUCUUUCUUGUUAACAAUUUGUUUCGGAAAAUUUAUGAAUGUGGAAGAUAUUAUUGUGUAGCUGAAAUCGGUAGUGAAAGAUGGGGACGGUCAUGUCAUUGGGUGGUCCUGAGUCCGAACUUCCUUAGCAAGACCCAACUGAGAAGUGCCAGUAUACAAAAGUGGUACGCAUGCCAUCAUAUAGAUUCUGUGAGAAGGAAACACAAGCAGCUAGAUUGUGCUGAACACAAGCAGAGUUCUAUAUCAUUCUUCAAGGUCUAACAUCCCGAGACCGCCAUUUCACAUUGGUCUUGCGCAAUAACCAAUGCUGCCGAGGUGUGAAAAGGUUCAUAUAACAAUGAAAAGGCUCGUAAACUUGCUUUACGGCAUUGGCUUGAGAUUGUGAGUCAUACAUUAUCACAUCGCCUUUGGGUCGAACUACUAGUUUUUCUCGACAGCCACUAGUUAAAAUUGAUUCCCUUCUUACGAAUAGGUAGAAGUGUUGUCAAAAAUGGACGAUUUGCGAUUCGAAUCAUCCGAUUCGUAUCGUGAUGGAUGUUAAACGAUACAAAUCGUUUGUUUAAAUCCUUUUGCAAGUGAAUCGCACGUUUCAUUGAAAUGAAUCUCACGAUUCGAUUGAAUCGUCGAUUCACCAAUUUCAAACUUUGCGUUCUUUAAUUCAUUUUAACCCACCAAUUGCAAAAUAAUUUAGAAAAAAUAAUAUUUAAAAAGUGGAGAAGAAGAUAAUAAUGAUAGAUGAUCUAUAAAUAAGUAGAAAAGAUGGAGAAGAAAAGAAGAUUAUGAUUCAUGAUGAAAAUAAAGAAGAAGAAGAAGAAGAAGAAGACGUAGAAGCAGAGAAGAAGACGAAGAAUGAAGAUGAUAAUGAAUAAAAUUUAUUAUUAUUUAAUUUUAAUUUUAAUUUUGAUUGAUCAAAGAGAUGGUGAUAAGAUGGGGAGAUCACGUGGUGCAAGUGGAUAAAGAUUAAAUAAAAUAAUAAAAAAUUUAUUAUUAUUUUAUUAUUUUUUUAAAUUUUUAUUGGUUGAGGAAAUUGAUGGGAUGGGAGACCACAUGCAAUAGCAAGUGAAUAAAUUUUUUUAUUUUUUUAUUAUUUAUUAAGGUGUGAUAUUUUAAAUUUGUGACACAUUAUCUCAAGCUCCACGUGCAACUUCAAAAACAAAUUUCUUUUUAAUAUUUUUAAUAUAUAAUAAAAUAAUAAAUGAUAUGUAAUGUAAUUAUGUAUAUAUAACAAUAAUCAUAUAAAUAUGUAAAUCUAAUUUUUCUAAACAAUAAUAAAAUGAAAGCAUUUUAAAAUUUUAAUAAAACGAUUUAUGUUUGGAUUCAUGAUUUGACAACGUAUUAUGGUCAUACCCUUUGUUUCUAUUAAUACUACUCUGCCAGGUGGCUCCAUUGUGAGAGUAAGCCGACUCGGUAAGAUUACUUGCUAACACCUCCAGAACAAAUUAGAAAAUUUCAUUUGAUCUUUACAACUAAGAACAUUAAACACUUAAUUCAUCAUUAUGAUGUUUGGAAUUGUAGGCUCAAUGUAGGGGAAGCUAGAGAAACCAACCUCGAGGGAAUGCCCUCGACUGAAGCUUCAAGAACAAUGAAUCAAGUAUCUUGAUGCGGAAACUGUAUGCAGAUAACAUGUUGCUUGAUUUUGCGGAUGGAAAGAAAGGCUUUAGAAAUUGAAGUGCAGGAUGGGGAAGUUUGUGUACAGGCAGAGUGGGAAACUUGUUGAUACAAAAGGAGAACCUGAAGAUGCUAAGUAGAUAUUUGUCCUUGGCACAUCCAAGACCUUGUACAUUGGGCAGAAGAAUGAAGGCAUAUUUCAACAUUCAAGCUUCUUGGCAGGUGAAGCCACAUUAUCUGCUGGAAUUUUAGUUGUGGAAGAUGGUGUUCAAAGGCAGCUUGGCUACACAGUGGACAUUAUUGUCCAACGGAAGAAAAUCCUCAAGAGUUCAUGUCAUUCCUCAAGAAACACAAAAUAGAUAGAUGUAAGCAAUGUAAAGGUAAUAUAUACGGACAUCAAUUCAUAUUAUGUCAAGAUAGUUACUCUGCUACUAUCAAGAUAGUUAUUCUAAGGCAAAAACUUCCUAUCUCCACUUUUUGCUAAAAGAAACUUUUGUUUUCUAUAGUUUUUAGCUGAUUUUUAUAGGUUUUAAGACAUUCCUGUCUCAUGGCAUAGAGCCAAUCACUGAUAUUCUACUUUUUAUUUUCCAUGUUUAAACCAGGAAAGCCCAAUUGAGGGUAUCAUAAUUUUUGAAAAUUGCAAAGGAUAUAAUCAAAAUUGUUCCGACUUCGUUAUUGUAAUCAAAAUUAUUUGGCUUUUUAUUUUCUCAAAAAUCUACUCAAUGGGACUUCCAGCAAUAAACUUGUAUGAAAGGGCCAGACGCCAUGGAGACACAGGAGAUGCAGAAGCGAUCGACCAAGAUAGACUUCUUCGUCGAAUUAGUGAUCCCUGAUCCUAUCUAACGAAGAUUUGAUCCUAAAAUAGGGGGGUUGAUCGGAAAUCUCAGCCAUUUCUUUUCUUGUAUUUAUUAUUAUUCUUACUGAUCUGUAGUUCAAGGGCACUAUUCCCAAUCCGAGUUUGAGAUGGAAUAAGACCCAGAGGGAAGCAGUUUUGUCUUGAUUUACAAGGUAAAUAAGGGGUCUUCUCUUUCCCCACGAGGGAAAUCCCUUUCCAGAUGGAGGAGACAUAGCUCAUACGCACUUCUGAUCCAAAACACACUUGCGGAUUCGCAAAGCACAAACAGGUAAAAAUGAUUACAAAGAGUAUACAAGGAAAGAAAACAUCACAACUCGUGUUGAAAGGCAGAUGCCCCCAAAAUAUAGUAAAGAAACAUUAAAUAUGGGAUUGAAAAUUUAAAGACCAUGAUGGCUUUCCUCUUUUUAAUAAUAGCAUUUUCUACAUCCAGUCCAUUGAAAAUUUUUAUGAAGCCUGUUAACCAAGCAAGUACAAGAUAAAGGUCCUAACGCAAACUACAAACAUUAGCAC